AGCUUAUCAGUGAUGUUGUAAAAUAAAUGUCUGAACAUAUGAAUACAAUAUUGAUUUCAGUGUUGGACUGAGAUAAGCU
rnacentral:snoRNA from 1 species